rnacentral:lncRNA from 1 species
AAUAUAGCGCAUGUCUGCAGGAGAAGUAAUCUUAUUAUGUCUAGAUAUAGCAUCAUUGACACUAACCUCACUACACAUAUUCAUUAAACCAUGCGUUGCAUGUGGGAACCAAUCAUAUGUUCCUUCACUAUGCUGCAAACAUUUUUGAAGUCUGGUUUCUCAGUGAAAGCAUUAGGAGAAUAAUCUACAAUAGGUCUUUGAGAAUAGAUAUAGCAAGGCCCAGUUAAACUGGAGUUGUUUAUAACUUUGGUAGAAUCUUGACUCUUGAGCUUGCUAGAGAUUUCUCUAAUUCUCUUAAUAUUAGUAACCACCCUGGUGCAAUUUAU